UGGUUCCUCAGAUUUUCACCGUUGUCUCUGACAAUACACUGGUUUUUAUGCCUGUUGGGAUAGAACAUCACUUUAGUCCUCCAUAAAAUUGUUUUUUUUCCUUAGACACAUAAGGAGAACUUAACUUGUUCACUUCUUAUUGUACUGACACAAUGGAUGGAACAGUGUAUGAAAUGUGCAAACAAUGUUGGCCUAAUUGCCACACCUUAUUUUGAAACUGCAUUCCACCAAACUGGUCCUGUGUGUCAAAAAUAAAUCAUUGUGAACUUGCAGAGAACAGAUGAGCAAGAGAAAGCAUCCUAACGGCGCACGGCGCAGGACCAGAGAGCUCUGCAGUGGGUGAAUAAAACGUUCAGAAGAUCACUGGUAUACUGGAUAUUGAUGCUGACUGUCUUUCUGGAUUUUGGAGGUGGCAUUAUAAACCUGCUGUUUGAUAUGUAAACAUUCAGAUAUUCAACAUCAGGAAGGAGGCAGCCACUAUCAGCCUCUCGGAGCUCAAAUGAUGUUAAAAUGUAUAUGUGACUGUGGAUGAGAAGAUAAGAAAUAUGGUGAAAAUGUACUUCAUGCAUCAUCUCUUGGAGAAAUGCCAUCCAAAGCCACCCUUCAGACCAGUCAGUAUCCAUUAUAGCUGAGAUUUUCACAAGAAAUUGCACUGCAUCAGUGAGCUCUCAGUAAAAAUGAUCACCAUAAGCUGUCAUCAAGAGACUCUGAAGAGACUAUUAUGGACCACAAAUAAGUAGAAUAAUUGGGUUGUUUGACACAGUAAUAGAGCUUCAUGUUAUCAUCAAUAGAAAUGCUAAUUUCCACAGAAUGGAACAGAUGGACGAGGAAAAAACAAAGAUUAUUUUGAUGGGAAGGCAGGAUGCGUUGUGUGAUACUACUCCAUGGACUUUAAACCUGCAGAUAGUCUCACUGAAAUCACAUUGAAAAGACAUUUUCUAAUCAAUUUUAUGAUAGCACAUACUGUA